rnacentral:rRNA from 1 species
AUUGAACGCUGGCGGCAGGCCUAACACAUGCAAGUCGAGCGGAUGAAGGGAGCUUGCUCCUGGAUUCAGCGGCGGACGGGUGAGUAAUGCCUAGGAAUCUGCCUGGUAGUGGGGGAUAACGUCCGGAAACGGGCGCUAAUACCGCAUACGUCCUGAGGGAGAAAGUGGGGGAUCUUCGGACCUUACGCUAUCGGAGAAGCCUAGGCCGGAUUAGCUAGUGGGCGGGGUAAAGGCCUACCAAGGCGACGAUCCGUAACUGGUCUGAGGGGAUGAUCAGUCACUCUGGAACUGAGACACGGUCCAGACUCCUACGGGAGGCAGCAGUGGGGAAUCUUGGACAAUGGGCGAAAGCCUGAUCCAGCCAUGCCGCGUGUGUGAAGAAGGUCUUCGGAUUGUAAAGCACUUUAAGUUGGGAGGAAGGGCAGUAAGUUAAGACCCUGCUGUUUUGACGUUACCAACAGAAUAAGCACCGGCUAACUUCGU